UCCAGGGUAGCCUAGUGGACAUGGCAUCUGCCCGGUAAGCGUAACAUUGUGGGUUCGAUUCCCAUCCCUGGAC
rnacentral:tRNA from 1 species